AUGUACCCGCUCACUGCGGUUCCUGCGCGCUGUACGCCCCCACCCGACAGCGACUCGCGACGUUUUGUUAGCC
rfam:Xanthomonas albilineans GPE PC73 complete genome